UACGUAGGGGGCGAGCGUUGUCCGGAUUUAUUGGGCGUAAAGAGCUCGUAGGCGGUUUGGUAAGUCGGAUGUGAAAUCUCCAGGCUCAACUUGGAGGGGUCAUUCGAUACUGCCAUGACUAGAGUUCGGUAGGGGAGUGUGGAAUACCUGGUGGAGCGGUGAAAUGCGCAGAUAUCAGGUGGAACACCGGUGGCGAAGGCGGGUCUCUGGGCAACUACUGACGCUGAGGAGCGAAAGCGUGGGGAGCGAACAGG
rnacentral:rRNA from 1 species